rnacentral:tmRNA from 1 species
GGGGGCGUAACCGGUUUCGACGGUAGCCGGCAAACGUCGAUAGCAUGCCGAGGAUCAUGGUUGGCCUCGUAAAAUCCCCAUGGUAUUAUAACUGGCGAAUACGAAUACGCCAUGGCUGCCUAAUUAGGU